rnacentral:rRNA from 1 species
UACCUGCAGCCCGAGUGGUGCUCGUUAUUAUUGGGUCUAAAUCGUCCGUAGUCGGCUGAGUAGAUGCCUGGGUAAAUCGAGGCGCUCAACGUCUCGAAUUCCAGGUAGACCGCUCGGCUAGGGAUCGGGAGAGGUGCAAGGUACUCCGGGGGUAGGGGUAAAAUCCUGUAAUCCUCGGGGGACCACCAGUGGCGAAGGCGUUGCACUAGAACGAGUCCGACGAUCAGGGACGAAGCCCUGGGGCGCAAACGGG